GUCGCCAUUUUGUUUUUGGUGGUUUUUGUCUGGCUUCUUUACCGCAACCUGUUUUAUCAGCAAAGUCUUUAUAACCUGUAUUUUGUGCUGACCUCCUAUCUCAUCCUGUGACUUAGAAUGCCUUAACAACUGUCUGGAAUGCAGCCCGCAGUAAAUCUUGCUGCUGCUCACUCUUUGGUCCAUGCUGCCUGAGCUGUAACACUCACCAGGAAGGUCUGCAGCUUCACUCCUGAAGCCAGCAAUACCAUGAACCCACUAGGAGGAAUGAACAACUCGAGAUGCGCCGUCUUUAAGAGCUGUAACACUCACCGUGAAGGUCUGCAGCUUCACUCCUGAAGUCAGCGAGACCAUGAACCCACCAGAAGGAAGAAACUCCAGACACAUCUGAACAUCUGAAGGAACAAACUCCGGACACACCAUCUCUAAGAACUGUAACACUCACUGCGAGGGUCCGCGGCUUCAUUCUUGAAGUCAGCGAGACCAAGAACCCACCAAUUCCAGACACACUUACAGAUGAUUGAAUUCAAUCUUUCAUUAAGGAACAACAGAUAAAGUUUAAAUGUACAUAUUUAUUAUACUAUGAAUAAUUUGUAUCUAAGAAUUUAUUCAGUGCCAUAUCUCUAGCCCAUCUUUAGGUGUAAUGCUUGUACAAAGAGGCCACUGAUUGAGUGGUUGUUGAAUUAAAUCGUUCAUGAAACA
rnacentral:lncRNA from 1 species